AACGCUGGCGGCGUGCCUAAUACAUGCAAGUCGAGCGAGCGGAACUAACAGAUUUACUUCGGUAAUGACGUUAGGAAAGCGAGCGGCGGAUGGGUGAGUAACACGUGGGGAACCUGCCCCAUAGUCUGGGAUACCACUUGGAAACAGGUGCUAAUACCGGAUAAGAAAGCAGAUCGCAUGAUCAGCUUUUAAAAGGCGGCGUAAGCUGUCGCUAUGGGAUGGCCCCGCGGUGCAUUAGCUAGUUGGUAAGGUAAAGGCUUACCAAGGCGGUGAUGCAUAGCCGAGUUGAGAGACUGAUCGGCCACAUUGGGACUGAGACACGGCCCAAACUCCUACGGGAGGCAGCAGUAGGGAAUCUUCCACAAUGGACGCAAGUCUGAUGGAGCAACGCCGCGUGGGUGAAGAAGGUUUUCGGAUCGUAAAGCUCUGUUGUUGGUGAAGAAGGAUAGAGGUAGUAACUGGCCUUUAUUUGACGGUAAUCAACCAGAAAGUCACGGCUAACUACGUGCCAGCAGCCGCGGUAAUACGUAGGUGGCAAGCGUUGUCCGGAUUUAUUGGGCGUAAAGCGAGCGCAGGCGGAAGAAUAAGUCUGAUGUGAAAGCCCUCGGCUUAACCGAGGAACUGCAUCGGAAACUGUUUUUCUUGAGUGCAGAAGAGGAGAGUGGAACUCCAUGUGUAGCGGUGGAAUGCGUAGAUAUAUGGAAGAACACCAGUGGCGAAGGCGGCUCUCUGGUCUGCAACUGACGCUGAGGCUCGAAAGCAUGGGUAGCGAACAGGAUUAGAUACCCUGGUAGUCCAUGCCGUAAACGAUGAGUGCUAAGUGUUGGGAGGUUUCCGCCUCUCAGUGCUGCAGCUAACGCAUUAAGCACUCCGCCUGGGGAGUACGACCGCAAGGUUGAAACUCAAAGGAAUUGACGGGGGCCCGCACAAGCGGUGGAGCAUGUGGUUUAAUUCGAAGCAACGCGAAGAACCUUACCAGGUCUUGACAUCUAGUGUCAUUUGUAGAGAUACAAAGUUCCCUUCGGGGACGCUAAGACAGGUGGUGCAUGGCUGUCGUCAGCUCGUGUCGUGAGAUGUUGGGUUAAGUCCCGCAACGAGCGCAACCCUUGUUAUUAGUUGCCAGCAUUAAGUUGGGCACUCUAAUGAGACUGCCGGUGACAAACCGGAGGAAGGUGGGGAUGACGUCAAGUCAUCAUGCCCCUUAUGACCUGGGCUACACACGUGCUACAAUGGGCAGUACAACGAGAAGCGAGCCUGCGAAGGCAAGCGAAUCUCUGAAAGCUGUUCUCAGUUCGGACUGCAGUCUGCAACUCGACUGCACGAAGCUGGAAUCGCUAGUAAUCGCGGAUCAGCACGCCGCGGUGAAUACGUUCCCGGGCCUUGUACACACCGCCCGUCACACCAUGGGAGUCUGCAAUGCCCAAAGCCGGUGGCCUAACCUUCGGGAAGGAGCCGUCUAAGGCAGGGCAGAUGACUGGGGUG
rnacentral:rRNA from 1 species